rnacentral:rRNA from 1 species
ACGCUUGACACCUACGGGGCAGCAGUGGGGAAUAUUGCACAAUGGGGGAAACCCUGAUGCAGCGACGCCGCGUGGAGGAAGAAGGUCUUCGGAUUGUAAACUCCUGUUGUUGGGGAAAAAGAGGAUGGUACCCAACAAGGAAGUGACGGCUAACUACGUGCCAGCAGCCGCGGUAAUCUGAGCGGGCUGGCAAGGC